rnacentral:rRNA from 1 species
GCCUAACACAUGCAAGUCGAGCGGCAGCGCGAUAUGUAGCAAUACAUAUUGGCGGCGAGCGGCGGACGGGUGAGGAACACGUAGGAACCUACCCUCGAGUGGGGGAUAACCAAGGGAAACUUUGGCUAAUACCGCAUGAUUUCGAGAGAGCAAAGCUGCCGCAAGGUGGCGAUCGAGGAGGGGCCGGCGUCCGAGUAGCUAGUUGGCGAGGUAAGAGCUCACCAAGGCGAUGACGGGUAACUGGUCGGAGAGGACGACCAGUCACACUGGGACUGAGACACGGCGCAGACUCCCACGGGAGGCAGCAGUGGGGAAUAUUGGACAAUGGGGGCAACCCUGAUCCAGCGAUGCCGCGUGAGUGAAGAAGGCCUUCGGGUCGUAAAGCUCUUUAGGUUGGGAAGAAGAGUGAUGGAGGAAAUGCUAUCACUUUGACGGUACCGACAGAAUAAGCACCGGCAAACUCUGUGCCAGCCGCCGCAGUAACAC